rnacentral:rRNA from 1 species
GACGAACGCUGGCGGCGUGCUUAACACAUGCAAGUCGAGCGGUAAGGCCUUUCGGGGUACACGAGCGGCGAACGGGUGAGUAACACGUGGGUGAUCUGCCCUGCACUUCGGGAUAAGCCUGGGAAACUGGGUCUAAUACCGGAUAUGACCUCCUAUCGCAUGGUGGGUGGUGGAAAGAUUUAUCGGUGCAGGAUGGGCACGCGGCCUAUCAGCUUGUUGGUGGGGUAAUGGCCUACCAAGGCGACGACGGGUAGCCGACCUGAGAGGGUGACCGGCCACACUGGGACUGAGACACGGCCCAGACUCCUACGGGAGGCAGCAGUGGGGAAUAUUGCACAAUGGGCGAAAGCCUGAUGCAGCGACGCCGCGUGAGGGAUGACGGCCUUCGGGUUGUAAACCUCUUUCAGCAGGGACGAAGCGCAAGUGACGGUACCUGCAGAAGAAGCACCGGCUAACUACGUG